rnacentral:rRNA from 1 species
GACGAACGCUGGCGGCGUGCUUAACACAUGCAAGUCGAACGGAAAGGCCCCUUCGGGGGUACUCGAGUGGCGAACGGGUGAGUAACACGUGAGUAACCUGCCCUUGACUUCGGGAUAACUUCAGGAAACUGGGGCUAAUACCGGAUAGGAAUCCUUGCUGCAUGGUGGGGGUUGGAAAGCUUCGGCGGUUUUGGAUGGACUCGCGGCUUAUCAGCUUGUUGGUGGGGUAGUGGCUUACCAAGGCUUUGACGGGUAGCCGGCCUGAGAGGGCGACCGGCCACAUUGGGACUGAGAUACGGCCCAGACUCCUACGGGAGGCAGCAGUGGGGAAUAUUGCACAAUGGGCGGAAGCCUGAUGCAGCAACGCCGCGUGCGGGAUGACGGCCUUCGGGUUGUAGACCGCUUUCAGCAGGGGCGAAGCUUGUGGUGACGGUACCUGCAGAAGAAGCACCGGCUAACUACGUG